rnacentral:rRNA from 1 species
AUUGAACGCUGGCGGCAUGCCUUACACAUGCAAGUCGAACGGUAACAGGUCUUCGGAUGCUGACGAGUGGCGAACGGGUGAGUAAUACAUCGGAACGUGCCCGAUCGUGGGGGAUAACGCAGCGAAAGCUGUGCUAAUACCGCAUACGAUCUACGGAUGAAAGCGGGGGAUCGCAAGACCUCGCGCGGACGGAGCGGCCGAUGGCAGAUUAGGUAGUUGGUGGGAUAAAAGCUUACCAAGCCGACGAUCUGUAGCUGGUCUGAGAGGACGACCAGCCACACUGGGACUGAGACACGGCCCAGACUCCUACGGGAGGCAGCAGUGGGGAAUUUUGGACAAUGGGCGCAAGCCUGAUCCAGCCAUGCCGCGUGCAGG